rnacentral:rRNA from 1 species
AUUGAACGCUGGCGGCAUGCUUUACACAUGCAAGUCGAACGGUAACAGGUUAAGCUGACGAGUGGCGAACGGGUGAGUAAUGCAUCGGAACGUGCCCGAUCGUGGGGGAUAACGCAGCGAAAGCUGCGCUAAUACCGCAUACGAUCUGAGGAUGAAAGCGGGGGACCGUAAGGCCUCGCGCGAUCGGAGCGGCCGAUGUCAGGAUUAGGUAGUUGGUGGGGUAAAGGCCCACCAAGCCGACGAUCUGUAGCUGGUCUGAGAGGACGACCAGCCACACUGGGACUGAGACACGGCCCAGACUCCGACGGGAGGCAGCAGUGGGGAAUUUUGGAANNUGGGCGAAAGCCUGNUCCAGCAAUGCCGCGUGCAGGAAGAAGGCCUUCGGGUUGUAAACUGCUUUUGUACGGAGCGAAAAGGUCCUUUCUAAUACAAGGGGCUCAUGACGGUACCGUAAGAAUAAGCACCGGCUAACUACGUGCCAGCAGCCGCCGUAA